CAAAGGUCCUCUGCUCUGGCUGUUAAGAGACAGAGGAGCCCCAAUUCCUCCCCUCGUGUCAUCAUGCUCCAAUGGCCAGCUCCCCACCAAAGAUCAGGCAACACAAUCCAGACAUCUGUCUGCCUCAGAGAGCAGAUGCAUUGCAGAAAAGAAACGAUGCACAGUGCAUCCUAGUGACUCAAAGACAGACCUUUCUCCUUGGGGGCAAACAACCUCCCGUCCCUGGGGAGAGAAAAAAUGCACUGUCCAUCAGCUGCUGGUUGAGUGGAGUCUCUGUGGAACUUCUGCUGUGCUGAGAGAACCCCCUCCCCAUCUGCCACUUUCUCCAAGGCGGUAGACUAGGAACAACAACAAUUGAAGCCACACUUUCCAGUAUGUGAAUUCUCUUUUACUACUAUUGGACAAGAAACAAAUCAUCAUGCAAACAACAAGGUGCAUCAUCAUCAGGUUUAAAGAGGUUGAGCUGACCACAUGGAACCACUGUUGUUGCUUCAAUGGAUGUAAGGGAGUAAGGUCAAAGCCACUCAUCCCGGCUCUUUAAUACUGGCUGUAUCACAGCAACCAUCAUAGCAACCAGGAGGGUCCCCCUCCUGCUAGUCCAGUUGGCAAACAGUUGCUAAGAAACCAACUUGACCUUUCCUCAUCCACUUGCAGCAGUUCUCUGUACCAUCUCCAAAUAGCUUGCAUGGAUUAUGAGAUAAUGUGGAGCCAGACAGUUUGGUAGCCUUUUGGGUGAAGAUUAAAGAGCUACUCCCCCCCUUCUGCUCUGCAUACACUGGGAGACACAGAAGUUGCCACAAAGAAAACAAGCCCCGCCCCACCCCGAUGUUCCAGUUCUUAGCUCAGCUCAGCUCCUGAUGGUGGAGGAUCAGCGUAUGAGCUUCAGCGAAAGGAUGUGUAAAGCAAAUGGCAGCAGGCUCCCUUUACUUUUGUUUUGGUUUUGUGGAAAUGUAGAUCUGACAAGUAAAAUAAACCUGUGCUUGUACAGUA